rnacentral:rRNA from 1 species
AAAGGAAUUGACGGGGAGCACCACAACGGGUGGAGCUUGCGGUUUAAUUUGGAUUCAACGCCGGAAAUCUUACCGGGACCGACAGCAAUAUGAAGGCCAGGCUGAAGACUUUGCCGGAUUAGCUGAGAGGUGGUGCAUGGCCGUCGUCAGUUCGUACUGUGAAGCAUCCUGUUAAGUCAGGCAACGAGCGAGACCCACGCCCACAGUUGCCAGCGUACUCUCCGGAGUGACGGGUACACUGUGGGACCGCCGCUGCUAAAGCGGAGGAAGGAAUGGGCAACGGUAGGUCAGUAUGCCCCGAAUAUCCCGGGCUACACGCGAGCUACAAUGGUUGGUACAAUGGGUAUCUACCCCGAAAGGGGACGGAAAUCUCCUAAAACCAAUCUUAGUUCGGAUUGAGGGCUGCAACUCGCCCUCAUGAAGCUGGAAUCCGUAGUAAUCGCGUUUCAACAGAACGCGGUGAAUACGUCCCUGCUCCUU